rnacentral:RNase_P_RNA from 1 species
GCGGAUGGCUGGAUGGCCGCGGCCCGGAUCGGGUCGAGGAAAGUCCGGACUCCAGGAAGGAAUGGCGGCGGGUAACGCCCGCCCGGGGCAACCCGAGGGAAAGCGCCACAGAGAACAGACCGCCUUCGGCCUCCGGGCCGGGGGCAAGGGUGAAACGGUGGGGUAAGAGCCCACCGCGCUUCCGGCAACGGCAGCGGCACGGCAAGCCCCGCCAGGAGCAAGGCCAAAUAGGGACCGCGCGGGGCUCUGCCCCAGGGAUCUUCCGCCCGAGCGGUCCGGGUUGGCUGCUUGAGCCCGUCGGCGACGGCGGGCCAAGAGGAAUGGUCAUCGUCGCGCCCCUCCGGGCGCGUCACAGAAUCCGGCUUACAGGCCGUCCGCGCGC